rnacentral:rRNA from 1 species
GUGGCUUCCGGAGCUAACGCGUUAAGUCGACCGCCUGGGGAGUACGGCCGCAAGGUUAAAACUCAAAUGAAUUGACGGGGGCCCGCACAAGCGGUGGAGCAUGUGGUUUAAUUCGAUGCAACGCGAAGAACCUUACCUACUCUUGACAUCCAGAGAACUUAGCAGAGAUGCUUUGGUGCCUUCGGGAACUCUGAGACAGGUGCUGCAUGGCUGUCGUCAGCUCGUGUUGUGAAAUGUUGGGUUAAGUCCCGCAACGAGCGCAACCCUUAUCCUUUGUUGCCAGCGGUCCGGCCGGGAACUCAAAGGAGACUGCCAGUGAUAAACUGGAGGAAGGUGGGGAUGACGUCAAGUCAUCAUGGCCCUUACGAGUAGGGCUACACACGUGCUACAAUGGCGCAUACAAAGAGAAGCGACCUCGCGAGAGCAAGCGGACCUCAUAAAGUGCGUCGUAGUCCGGAUUGGAGUCUGCAACUCGACUCCAUGAAGUCGGAAUCGCUAGUAAUCGUAGAUCAGAAUGCUACGGUGAAUACGUUCCCGGGCCUUGUACACACCGCCCGUCACACCAUGGGAGUGGGUUGCAAAAGAAGUAGGUAGCUUAACCUUCGGGAGGGCGCUUACCACUUUGUGAUUCAUGACUGGGGUGAAGUCGUAACAAGGUAACCGUAGGGGAACCUGCGGUUG